GUAGGGAAUAUUGGGCAAUGGAGGCAACUCUGACCCAGCCAUGCCGCGUGCAGGAUGACGGCCCUCUGGGUUGUAAACUACUUUUAUACGGGAAGAAAAAAUACUACGUGUAGUAUACUGACGGUACCGUAAGAAUAAGGAUCGGCUAACUCCGUGCCAGCAGCCGCGGUAAUACGGAGGAUCCAAGCGUUGUCCGGAUUUAUUGGGUUUAAAGGGUGCGUAGGCGGAUCUUUAAGUCAGUGGUGAAAGCCUGCAGCUUAACUGUAGAAUUGCCAUUGAAACUGAAGAUCUUGAAUGUGGUUAAAGUAGGCGGAAUGUAUCAUGUAGCGGUGAAAUGCUUAGAUAUGAUACAGAACACCGAUAGCGAAGGCAGCUUGCUGAACCAUUAUUGACGCUGAGGCACGAAAGCGUGGGGAGCGAACAGGAUUAGAUACCCGGGUAGUCC
rnacentral:rRNA from 1 species